rnacentral:misc_RNA from 1 species
CAGUGCGUUCGGGUUGGUCAUCGUCUCAAUGGUAACAACGGUCGAGAGCGGCACUUGCCGGCCGGUAUUCGUCGCAACGUAAUAAUUUCCAAUCGAUUCCGGCGUCAGGCGAAGGUCACGCGGCACCUGCGGAAUCACCUGAUACGAACGUCCUUCCAGAUUGAACCGGUUGACGUAGUUGCCGCCGAGCAGCGUCGAUAGCGUAUUGCCCAGCGCAGCCAUGU